AACAAUGUUAUUAAACAUGUAUGUAUAAUUCAUCAAAUGACAAAGUGAUGUAGGACAGAUCUGGUAUUCUGAUAAUACCUAAUGACAGGUGGUUUAUUUAGGGUUAGAAGGCUAGGGAAAUUAUGGAAGAAUAGGGUUUAGGUAUGUAACUGGUUGAUAGGCAAUUUAGAGGCAAAAUAUGGCUCAGAAGAUGAGAUUUGGGUGUUGAGAACAGGGCUGGACGUAAGGUAGGGUUAUCAGAAUGGAAAUUGAAAGAUUAGGGAGAAAGAGAAAUAUUUUCUAGGCAUCACACCUGAGUUCCUUUUGCAUCAAUCUAAAGGUUAGAAUUGCAUCUCACAACUCAAAGAACGCAUCAAUGCUUGGAGGAAAUUGAGGAUUCUUCACUAAUGAGAAAGAGAUUUACAAUAGCAACACUAUUCUUACCUGGAUUAGGAAAUCCUUUUCCUAUUAGGAAACAAAACAAAAUGGACGGAUUUCCUAUUGGAAAACUGAACAAAAUCUAAAACUAUUAAUAAUAAUACCAGGAAAAGAUUAUAAAUAAAACCUAACAAAUAAUUAGAGUUAACAAAAAGAUCUUGGGAAACAUUAUGUAUCAAAAUAAAGCCUAAUGAAGCUUCUAAGAGGCUUUUCUUCAUAAAAAGCAUCCCAAAUCAAUGCUUGGGCCUUAGAAUCAAUUUUAAGACUCUUCUUAUAUGUCUUUAGAGGUUGCUUUGGAUGUCCUCCAUCACAAAGUGAAUUUGUUUUCAACAGAUGGAUUAUUAUCCUUGACUCUUACAGGUAGAAUAAUUUUAUUUGUUGAUGGUUGACUUUUUAGGAAGUUUACUGAACUGAAACUAUGUUCGUGUUGUUCUAGAUCUAUGCAUAUCUGGAACUCUGGAAGAGAAAAUUGUUCCUAUUUAUACACGUGCUUACACAGCAGAACUGCUUUUUGAAGCAUCAUAGUAUUUUUGUUGUCGUUUCUGCAUCUAGUAUCUUUGGAGUUACCCUGAGACACCUCACAAUCCAUUUAUCCUGGAAUAACCUAUAAACCUCCUUAGGAUACUAGAUCCCACUCUAUUUUUGUGAGACACAGUGGUCUGGUAACAAAUACUUCCAUCUCACCCAUCUUAUCUUGUUAACAAAGAAACAAAUCAGAGUUCAUAGUAUGCACUAAAUUUGAUGUUUUCAAAUUAAAGAUACAGAAGUAAUAACAAAUCUAAUCUUGGUACAAUGAGCACAAUAGCCGGAGUUAUGCUUCCACAAAAGAAUUGCCAUUCUUCUUUUCAGUAAGUAAACUCUAGAUGUUGGUGUUAUGAUUUCAGAAAGAGUAGCAAUUCAUUCUCAAAUAUAAGGAACAAGAGGAUGAAUUUGUGUUGCCUAGAGUUAGGGCUUAUCAAGUUCUUAACAAAAUCAAAUAAUAUUCCCAUCUUAAAAGAAAAGGUGUAAACUUGUAGGACCUUAGAAUGAACUCCUCCACUUCAACUAUUUGCUGCUCAUCCAGUAAAUGCCCUUUCUUUUUAAUGAACUGAGAUCAAUUUUGAAUUGAUGUUUUCUACUCAUUUUCUCUUUCCACCUUUCCUUAAAUGAGAUUCCAAUUAUGAAUGUUUUGGGGCCUUUAUCAUUCAACUGGUAUAGCAUUUCACUUGUUUUGACGACCAGGUGGAAUCAGAUCAAAUAGAAUUUUUGUUUCAGGCAUCCAGGAUCCAGCUGAUGCCAGGAUUGGGUGUUCAGUGCCAUUGGCUGAUGGGUCAAGUGCCUCCAGCAGGGGAUUGAUGCCUCUGCUGAGCAUGUAAUCAUGACAUGGUCCUUGGUUGUUUGGGUUCUUUUCCUUUAGGUGUCAGUUGAUCCUUUGACAAUUUUCAUCCCUUUUACUUGAGCAGUCGAUGGAAGGGUCAGCUGUUUUUUUCAGUUGAUUCCGUUGACAACUAUGGCCUUUACUGAGAGAACCACUAAAGAGCUGCGAAUUUAAUUUUCUCAACAACUAGAACAACAAAAGCCUUAAUCCCAUUAGGUCAGAUCAGAUUCAUGAUGCUUUGAAAGGCACGAAUUGCACUGACUGUCAGCGAAAUAACACUGCCCUCCUCUUUUAUCAGAGAUUGAAAAUGGGCUAUAAACAGGAGAAACACCUUUAACACUAGAAUUGUUGAGGGGAUUACUCAACCUGCUGGCGGAAUUUAUGAAAAAAAAGAAGCAAAUUUCAACAAAAUGAGAACAGAUAAAAAUGCUUUGUCAAAUUUUGUUAUUUUUGGUCGUAGAAGUUUUGCAAAUAAAAAAACAUAACUUACUGAAAGGAAAAAUAAAUUAGAUGUCAUAAAGAAUAUUUAAUAAACUAAAUACCAUAUUAUUUCUCAAGUAUUUCCAUGCUUAUUGAAUUCUAGAGUGAAUUUUUUUUUUUUUUAAAGUUUUCUUGUUUUUAGUUUAUUUACAUUUUUAUUUCUGUUUUCUUAUCUUUACAACAUGGAAUGUGGCAUGUGUGCCCCUUAUUUUGUUAGAUGUCUACAAGACUGGGUUUGAGGGCAAGUACCAUAUCAGAACCUAAAGCUUAUAGCAAAAAGUAUUUCGUGGUGUCCAGUCGAUGUAGAAAAGAGUAAAACAGGGCACUAUAAAUUUGAUGUCCAUAAUUAUUGAUGCGGUUUCUAGAUAAACAAUCCUCUUAGGUCUACAACAUCUAUCCGAUCUUCAAGCAGGUAAAAUCCAGCUUAACGAAGCUAUAACAUCCCACAUUGUUGUUCCCAUGGCAAAACUUUGCCGCGCAUGUGUAAGUUAAAGGUACCUGCAUCAUUAUGAUUUUGCCAAAUCUGAAAUUGAAAUAUUCUUGCCCGCUUGUCCCCUACAAGCCCUAUCCCAUGAAUGAAUGGAGAUAGAUUUUGCAAUGAAUGUUGUCUUUUCCUUAUUUUCUCCUUCCAGGCUUCCACACUUUCCCACUUAUAUGAGAUUUCAAAUUCUGAAAGUUUUGGAGCUGUUGUCAUUCAACUGGUCUAGCAUUUAAUGCGUUUCAAUGGGUAGGUGGCCUGAGACCAAAUAGAAAUUCUGUUUAAGGCGUUCAGCCUUUGCCCCAGUUGGGUGGCUAAUGCCAUCUGCUGAAGGAUGAAGUGCACCUAACGGGGACUGAUGCCUCUGCUGAUCAUGUAACCACUACUUGGUCCUUGGCCUUUUGGGUUCUUUUCCGUGAGGCUUCAUUUGAUCCUUCAGGCAAAUUUCAUCCCUUAUACUUGAGCGGUUGAUGGGUGGGUCACCACUUUUGUCCAGAUGAUUCCUUCGGCGACUAUUGCCAUUACUGAGGUAGCCUUCAAAAAGCUGAAAAUUUAAUGUUCUCAAGAACUAGAACAAUACAGGCCUUAAUUCCAUUAGAUUGGGCCCAUUGGGGUCAGAAAUUUUGCUAGACUCUUUGGAAGACGAGAAUUGUGCUAACUGUUGGCUAUGUAAUGCCACCCUCAUCUUUUGUUUGAGCUUGAGAAUGGUUAUAAAGAGGGGCAACACCUUGAACACUGGAAUUGUUAAGGGGAUAACACAACCUGCUGGCUGAGUUUAUGAUUUUUUUUUCAAUUAAAUGAAAACAGAUAAAAAAUGCUUUGUGAAAUUUUGUUAUUUUUGGUUUUAGAAGUUUCGCAAAUAAAAAAACUUAACUCUCUAAAUGGAACAAUAAAGUUAGAUGUGAUAAGGAAUAAUUAGUAAACUAAGUACAAUUUUAUUUUUCAAGCAUUUCCAUGGUUGUUUAACAUCUAGAGUGAAAAUUAAGCUUUUUUCAAUUUUUUUUUGUAUUUUUAUACUUCUUUUUUAUUGCGUGCAAAUGUGGAACAUAGCACGUGUGUGCCUUAUUUUGUUAGACGUAUACACUAUUUGGUUUGGGGACAAUUACUAUAUCAGAACCUGAAGCUUAUAGGGAAAGUAUUUCAUGGUGCCCAGUCUAUGUGGGAAAGCCUAAAACAGGGCACUGUUAAAUUGUCGUCAACAAUCCUCCGAGGCCUACAACGUCUAUCCAAUCUUUGCAAGCAGGUAGAAUACAGCUUCAUGAAGCUAUAACAUCCCACUUCAUUGUUGCCAUGGCAAAAUUUUGCCACUUAUCUUUAAGUUAAAGGCUACCUGCAUCAUUAUGAUUUUGCCAAAUCUGAAAUCGAAACACUCUUGCUGCUAAUCCGGUAAAUGUCCUAACCUUUGAAUGAAUGGAGAUAGAUUUUGAAUUGAAUGUUGUCUUCUCCUUAUUUUCUCCUUCCAUGUGUUCCCAUUUAUAUGAGUUUUCCAAUUCUAAAUGUUUUGGAGACUUAACCAUUCGUCUGAUCUAGCAUUUAAUAGUUUCAACAGACAGGUGGCCUGGGAUCAAAUAUAAAAUUUGUUUAAGGUGUUCAGCUGAUGCUCGAUCAGGUGGCUAGUGCUCCCUGCUGAUUGAUCUAGUGCCUCCAACAGGGGACUGUGAUUCCGCUGUGCUUGUAACCUUUACUUGGUCCUUGGUCAUUCAGGUUCUUUUCUGUGAGGCCACAUUCGAUCCUUUGGACAAAUUUCAUCCCUCAUACUUGAGUAUUCGAUGGAUGAUCACAGUUUUGUUCAGGUGAUUCUUUUUUUGGCGACUGUUGUCAUUUUUGGGGGAGCCAUCAAAGAGCUGGAAAUUUAAUUUUUCUCAACAGCUAGAAUAACAUAAACCAUAAUCCCAUUAGGUUGGGUUGGAAAUUUUUCAACGAUUAUUCCAACAAGAACUGGGAUGACAGUCGGCCAUGUAAUGCUGCUCUCAUCUUUUAUCCAAGCUUGAGAAUGCCUAUAAAUAGGGGAAACACCUUGAACGCUAUAAUUGUUGAGGGGAUAACUCAACCUGCUGGCUGAGUUUCUGAAAAAGGUGAAGAAACAAAUUUCAAUUAAAUGGAAACAGAUAAAAAUGCAUCGUGAAAUUUUGUUAUUUUUUGUUUUAGAAGUGCCGCAAAUAAAAAAAAUUAACUUACAAAAAAGAACAAAAAUUUUGAUGUGAUAAGGAAUAUUUAUUUCUCAAGCAUUUCCAUGCUUAUUUAACAUCUAGGGUGAAAAUUAAAAAUUUUAUUUUUUUUAAUUUUUUUUUUCUUGACGUGGAACGUGGCAUGUGGCACGUGGCACGUGUGCCCCUUCUUUUGUUAUUAUAUACACUACUUCUUUUGGGGCUAAUUACCAUAUUAGAACCUGCAGCUUAUAAGGAAAUGUAUUUCGUGGUGUCCAGUCGAUGUGGGAAAGCGUAAAACGCGGCACUAUUAAAUUGUUGUCCAUAAUUAUUGGUGCGGUUUCUAAAACAACAAUCCUCCUGGGUCUACAACAUCUAUCCAAUCUUUGCAAGAAGGUAGAAACCAGCUUAGCAAAGCCAGAACCUCCCACUUGGUUGUUGCCAUGGCAAAACUUUGCUGCUUAUGUGCAAGUUAAAGGCUUCCUGCAUCAUUAUGAUUUUGCCAAUUCUGAAAUUGAAAUACUCUUGCUGCUCAUCCAAUAAAUGCCCUAACCCUUGAACGAAUUGAGAUAGAUUUUGAAUUAAAUGUUGUCUUCUCUUAUUUUCUCCUUCCAUGCUUUCCCAUUUAUAUGAGAUUUCCAAAUUCCGAUUGUUUUAGAGACUUAAUCUUUCAUCUUAUCUAUUAUUUAAUGCAUUCCAAUGAGUAGGCUCCCUGAGACCAAAUAGAACUUUUGUUUAAAGCAUUCAGCCGAUGCCCCAAUCUUUGGCUAGUGCCAUCUGCUGAUGGAUCAAGUACCUCUAAUGGAGGACUGAUACCUCCACUGAGCUUGUAACAAUUACUUUGUCCUUGGUCGUGUUGGGACAAAUUUUCAUCCCUUAUACUUGUGCUGUUGAUGGAUGGGUCACCAAUUUUGUUCAGGUGAUUCCUUUGGUGACUAUUGCCAUUACUAAUGGAGCCUUCAAAUAGCUGCAAGCAUGAUUUUCUCAACAACUAGAACAACAGAAACUUUAAUCCCAUUAGGCUGGGUCAGUUUUUUUCAUGACGCUUUGUCUGACAAGAACUGCGCUCACUGUUGACUAUGUAAUACUGCCCUCAUCUUUUGUCUGAUCUUGAGAAUGCCUUUAAAUAAGGAAACACCUUGAACACUUAAAAUGUUGAGGGAAUAACUCAACCUGCUGGUUUAUUAUAAAAAAAAAAAACGCAGGAGCAAAUUUCAAUAAACUGAAAACAGAUAAAAUUGCUUCUUGAAUUUUUGUUAUUCUUGGUUGUAGAAAUUUUACAAAUCAAACAACUUAACAUGCUAAAACAAACAAUAAAGUUAGAUUUGAUGAGGAAUAUUUAGUAAGCUAACUACAAUUACAUUUUUUUUUUGUAUAUUUAUAUUUUAUAAUUAUUUUUACUGUGUGCAACUUCCAACAUGCAACUUGGCACAUGGCAUCAGUGCCCCUUCUUUUGUUAGAUGUAUACACUACUUUGUUUGGGGGACAAUUACCAUAUCAAAAUCUGAUGCUUAUAUGGAAAAUUGUUUCAUGGUUUCCUGUCGAUGUGGGAAAGCGUACAACAGGGCACUAUUAAAUUGUGGUCCAUAGUUCUUGGUGUGCUUUCUAGAACAACAAUCCUACCAGGCCUAAAUUGUGGUUUCUAGAUCAAUAAUCCUAUUAUCAAAGCUAUAACAUCCCACUUUGUCGUUGCCAUGGAAAAACAUGGCCGCUUAUGUGUAAGUUAAAGGCUACCUGCAUUGUUAUGAUUUUUCCAAAUCUGAAAUCGAAAUACUCUUGCAGCUCAUCUGGUAAAUGCCCUAUCCCUUAUAUGAAUUGAGAUAGAUUUUGAUUUGAAUGUUGACUUCUCCUUUUUUUCUCCUUCCACACUUUCCCAUUUAUAUGAGAUUUCCAAUUCUGAAGUUCUGGAGACUUAAUCAUUCUUCUGAUCUGACCUAGCAUUUAAUAUGCGGCAAUUGGUAGGUGGCCUGAGACCAAAUAGAAAAUUUGUUUAAGGUGUUCAUUCUAUGCCCUGAUUUGGUGGCUUAUGCCCUCUGCUGAUGUAUCGAGUGCCUCCAACAGGGGACUGAUUCCUCUGCUGAGCUUGUAACCAUUAGUUGGCCCUUGGUUAUUAGUUUUUUUUUCUUCUUCUUCUGUGAGGCUACAUUCUAUCCUUCAAACAAAUUUCAUUCCUUGUACUUGAGUAGUCAAUGGAUGGGUCACCAAUUUUGUUCAGGUGAUUCCUUUGGCGACUAUUGCCAUUACUGUAGGAGCCUCCAAAGAGCUGCAAAUUUAAUUUUCUCAACAACUGAACUGUUGGAAUAAAUGUAAUUAGCUGUCAAUGAGUUGUCAAUUAGUCCUUAUUUUUAGGAGAAAAUUAUUGUACAUUCCUACUAUAAAAUCUAAAUGAAAAGGCUAGACCUCCAUCAAGUUCUCUGAUUCAACAUGGUAUUAGAGCAACCACUCAAAUUCUAGUUGCAGCCAGGGCCUCCUUGCUGCCUCCAAGAUGAUGCAAUUCUUGUUGCUGAGAGAGCAACGUGUAAGAAAACCGACGCUCUUCUUUGCAAUAUGUUAUGACAGACCAUUGAUCCCAAACUAUAUGUUAUUUACAAGGCAUACAAGACUUAUGUUCAGGAUAUGGAUAUGUCUGAAUUUCUUGGCCGCCUAGAAUCCCUGAAGAAGAGUUCAACUCUUUGUUACCAGUUGGUAAUACUACAGAAGAACAAUUGCAGCAACGAGAUAAAUUGUUUAUGGUUCUAGGAUUGACUGCCAUUUGAUCUGACCUUGCUCCGGUCCAGGAUCAAAUAUUAUCCAAUCCUAGAAGAUACCUUUGCUAGACUUCUUUGGGUUUCUUCCUCGUCUUCAGUCAUCAAUGGUUCUCAAGUUGAUUCUUCCGUCUUGGCAUCACAAACCUUUGGCAGAGGAGAGCAAGGAAAUGACAUAGGGUAGUAACUCACAACGAGGUAAUUGUCCUAAAUGCAACUACUGCCAUAGUGGGGCCAUCUUCAAGAACGGUGCCACAAACUACAUGGUCGACCACCACAUACUGCUAAUGUAACUCAGUUUGUUGCAACCAAUUCCUCAACAGAAACAUUUGAGAAUCAUUCCUCUCCGUCCCUUGUUUUGACUGGAAGUGAUUAUGAGGACUAUCUUCAGUAUCAGGCUUCUAAACAGACUGUGUCAUCAUCCACUGUUUUUGUGGUGCACACUAGUAGUUCUAUUGCUUGUGUUACUCGAUCUACCACUCCUAGACCAUGGGUUCUCGAUUUUGGUGCAACUGAUCAUCUCUCUGGACUGAGGUAUGGGACAGAUGAUUGGCGUUGGACGUGAGUCGCAAGGACUUUACUAUCUCGACAAGCCAUCUUCCUUAGCAGCCUGCAUUUCUACUGAAUCUUCAACUCUUCUUCAUAAUCGUUUGGGACAUCCGAGUCUAUCUAAAUUACAAAAGAUGGUCUCGCAUUUUUCUAAUAUUUCCACUUUAAAUUGUGAGUCUUAUCAAGUUGGAAAACAGUCUCGUACUUCGUUUUCAAAGCGUGUCAAUAAUUGGGCUACAUCCCCUUUUGAACUUGUCUAUAGUGAUGUUUGGGGUCCUUGUCAUGUUCUCUAUGUUUUAGGUUUUCGUUACUUUGUCAUUUUCAUUGAAGAUUACUCUCAUUGUACUUGGGUGUUCUUAUUGAAAAACUGUUCAGAGUUAUUUACUACCUUUAAGGACUUCUGUGCUGAAAUUCAAAUUCAAUUUAAUGUUUCUAUCUGGGCCUUCCAUAGUGAUAAUGCUAGAGAAUAUUUCUCAGCUCCUUUCACUACUUUCAUAGCUUCUAAGGGUAUUUUAUAUCAAUUCUUCUGUGCCUAUACACCCCAGCAGAAUGGAGUUGCUGAGCGCAAAAAUCGUCAUUUGAUUGAAACUGCUCGCACUCUUUUACUGCAUAUUCAUGCUCCUUCCCAUUUUUGGGCUGAUGCCGUUCUCAUUGCAUGUUAUCUCAUUAAUCGGAUGCCUUCUUCUGUCUUACAACAUGAGGUCCCUCGCUCCAUCCUUUUCCCUGCUCAAAGUCUUUAUCUCCUUCCACUUCGUGUUUUUGGGUACACUUGUUUUGUUUAUGACAUGACCCCUGGCCGUCCCAAACUUUCAGCCAAGACUAUCAACUGCAUCUUCCUUGGCUACUCACGACUUCAAAAAGGCUAUCAGUGUUACUUUCCUGAUCAGCAACGUUAUUUCAUCUCUGCUGAUGUUACUUUCUUUGAGGCAUCUCCUUUCUUUCUGUCCUCCCAUGUCAGGAGUCGUCCCGUUUUUGAGGUUCUUCCCACUCUUUACCUUUGUUCUCUCUCAUUUGAUACUGCUCCUACUGUCCUUGAAUGUCCCUUUCAGGUUUAUCAUCGCCUUCCACAUCCUCCUGUGGCUGUUGACAAAGAACUUGCUAACUCACCUCGUGCUUCGACAUCCUCACCUACCUCGGCCUAGCCAAUUCCUUCUGAGCCAGUUGUUGAACCUUCUCUUGAGCCCAUUGCCACUCGAAAAGGUAUACGCUUUACUCGCAACCCCCACCCCAUCUACACCUUCCUUAACUAUCAUCACUUGGCUUCACCCUAUUAUGCUUUUUUGUCCACUUUAUCUUCUAUUGCUAUCCCUAAAACUACUAGUGAGGCACUUUCAGACCCAGGGUGGUGCCAAGCCAUGGUUGAUGAGAUGGAUGCUCUACAUUCUAGUGGCAUUCGAGACUUAGUUUCUCUUCCUCCUGGUAAAUCUACUGUUGGUUGUCGUUGGAUCUAUACUAUGAAGGUUAGUCCAGAUGGGAAGGUUGAUCGCCUUAAGGCACGUCUGGUUGCCAAAGGCUACACUUAGAUUUUUGGGCUGGAUUACUGACACUUUUCCUCCGGUGGCUAAGAUUGUCUCCGUACACUUGUUUUUAUCCAUUACCACGAUGAAUCACUGGCUUAUCUAUUAGCUAGAUAUUAAGAAUGCUUUUCUUCAUUGGGAUCUUCAAGAGGAAGUCUAUAUGGAGCAACUGUCUGGCUUUGUUGCUCAGGGGGAGUCUGGAUUAGUAUGCAAACUUCGCUGCUCUCUUUAUGGGUUGAAACAAUCUCGCGAGUUUGGUUUGGACAGUUUAGUACAGUUCUUCAGGAAUUUGGUAUGAAUCGCAGUGAGGCCGACCACUCUGUUUUUUUAUACCACUCAUCAAAUGGUCAAUGCAUUUAUCUAGUGGUUUAUGUGGACGAUAUUGUCGUCACUGGAAGUGAUCAGAAUGGUAUUCUUCAAUUGAAGACACAUUUCUUCAACCAUUUUCAGACUAAAGAUUUGGGUAAGUUGAAAUAUUUUCUUGGCCUUAAGUGGCUUAGUCCAAAAGCGACAUAGUUAUUUCACAAAGGAGGCUAAUAUUCUUGGCCUUAGACAUUCUUCAAGAGGUCGGUUUGCUUGACUGUAAACCGGUUGAUAUUCCUAUGGACCCAAAUAUCAAGCUCUUACAAGGAUAGGGGGAGCUAUUAUCUGACCCUGGUAGAUAUCACCGACUCGUUAGAAAGCUAAACUACCUCAUUAUCACUCAGCCAAACAUUUCUUUUGCUAUUAGUGUAGUUAGUCAGUUUCUGUAGUCUGCAUGUAAUAAUCAUUGGGAUGCUGCCAUUCACAUUCUCAAAUAUAUCAAAGGCGCACCAGGUCAAUAAUUGUUAUAUGAAGAUAAGGGUCAUACCCAGGUGAUUCGGUAUUCUGAUGUUGAUUGGGCAGGAUUUCCUUUAGAUAGACGCUCUACUUCUGGGUACUGUAUUCUAAUUGGUGUCAAUUUGGUAUCUUGGAAGAGUAAGAAGCAGGAUGUGGUUGCUAGGUCUAGUGUUGAAGCAGAAUACCGUGCUAUGGCCUUGGCUAUAUGUGAACUUAUAUGGUUGAAACAAUUGCUUCAAGAAUUCAAAUAUGGCAAGGUGACGCAAAUGAAAUUAAUUUGGGAUAAUCAAGCCGCCUUGCUUAUAGCCUCUAAUUCUAUUUUUCAUGAGAGGACUAAACAUAUAGAAAUUGAUUGUCAUUUCAUUAGAGAAAAUGUUUUAUCUGGAUGUAUUGCCACUAGUUUUGUCAAUUCAGUCGAUCAACUGGUAGACGUCUUCACUAAGUCUUUUCGGGGUCCUCGUAUUAGUUUUAUUUGUAAUAAACUUGGUGCAUAUGACCUAUAUGCUUCAGCUUGAGGGAGAGUAUUGAAAUAAAUGUAAUUAGCUGUCAUAACUGUCAAUGAGUUGUCAAUUAGUCCUUAUUUUUAGGAGAAAAUUAUUGUACAUUCCUACUAUAAACUCUAAAUGAAGAGGCUAGACCUCAAUCAAGUUCUCUGAUUCAACAUAAACCAACACAAGCCUUAAUCCCAAUAGGUUGAGUUAGAAAUUUUUAAUGACGCCUUGUUUGAUGAGAACGGUGGUAAUUGUCAUCUAUGUAACUCCACCUCAUCUUUUAUCCGAGCUUGCGAAUGCCUAUAAAUAGUGAAACACCUUCAACACUAGAAUUGUUGUGGGGAUAACUCAACCUGCUGGCUGAGUUUAUGUAAAAAAAGAAGUCGUCAAUUUCAGUAAAUUCAAAUAGAUAAAAAUGCUUUGUGAAAUUUUGUUAUUUUUGAUUGUAGAAGUUUCACAAAUAAAAAAAAAAACUCAACUUACUAAAACGAACAAUAAAGUUAGGUAUAAUAAGGAAUAGUUAGUAAACUCAAAACAAUUUUAUUUCUCAAGCAUUUCCAUGCUUGUUUAACAUCUUGGGUGAAAAUUAAAUUUUUUCAUAUUUUUUAUUAUUUUUUUACUGCCUGCAACUUGUGACAUGAAGCGUGGCUCGUGGCACAAAUGCCCCUUCUUCUAUUAGAUGUGCACACUAUUUGGUUCCGGUGCAAUUAGCAUAUUAGAACUUGAACUUAUAGGGAAAAGUUUUCCAUGUUGUCCAUUUGAUGUGGAAAGCGUAAAAGAGCGCACUAGUAAAUUGUUGUCCAUAAUUAUUGGUGCCAUUUCUAGAACAACAAUCCUCCUAGGUCUACAACAUCCAUCCAAUCUUUGCAAGCAGGUGGCUUCCAUCUUAACGAAGCUAAAACAUCCAAGUUUGUUGUUGCUUUGGCAAAACCUUGCUGCAUAUGUUUAUGUAAAAGGCUACCUGCAUCAUUAUGAUUUUGCAAAAUCUGAACAAAUUGUUGUCCACUCUUGCUGCUCAUCCAGGAAAUGCCCUAGUCCUUGAACAAAUUGAGAUAGAUUUUGAAUUAAAUGUUGUCUUCUCCUUAUUUUCUCCUUCCAUGUUUUACCAUUUACACGAGAUUUCCAAUUCUAAAUGUUUUGGAGACUUAACCAUUCAUCUGAUUCAGCAUUUAAUGAUUUUCAACAGAUAGGUGGCCUGAGUAGUGCCCUCUGCUGAUUGAUUAUUAAGUGCCUCCAGCAGGGGACUGAUGUCUCCACUGAGCUUGUAUCCUUUACUUGGUUGUUGGUCUUUCAGGUUCUUUUCCAUGAGGCUACAUUCAAUCCUUAGGACAAAUUUCAUCCCUUAUACUUGAGCAUUCGAUGGAUGGGUCACAAUUAUGUUCAGUCGAUGUGGGAAGCCGUAAAAGAGGGCACUAUGAUAUUGUUGUCCGUAAUUAUUGGCGGUUUCUAGAACAACAAUCCUCCUAAGUCUACAACAUCUAUCCAAUGGUU